rnacentral:rRNA from 1 species
UACGGAGGGGGCUAGCGUUGUUCGGAAUUACUGGGCGUAAAGCGCGCGUAGGCGGACCUGCAAGUCGGGGGUGAAAGCCCGAGGCUCAACCUCGGAACUGCCUUCGAUACUGCGGGUCUCGAGUCCGGGAGAGGUGAGUGGAAUUCCUAGUGUAGAGGUGAAAUUCGUAGAUAUUCGGAAGAACACCAGUGGCGAAGGCGGCUCACUGGACUGGUAUUGACGCUGAUGUGCGAAAGCGUGGGGAGCAAACAGG